UACAGAGGUCUCAAGCGUUGUUCGGAUUCAUUGGGCGUAAAGGGUGCGUAGGUGGCGCUGUAAGUCGGGUGUGAAAUUUCGGAGCUUAACUCCGAAACUGCAUUCGAUACUGCGGUGCUUGAGGACUGGAGAGGAGACUGGGAAUUCCUGGUGAGCGGUGAAAUCGCGCAGAUAUCAGGAGGAACACCGGUGGCGAAGGCGGGGUCUCUGGGCCGAACUGACGCUGACGGAGCGAAAGCAUGGGGAGCGAACAGG
rnacentral:rRNA from 1 species